UACGUAGGGGGCGAGCGUUGUCCGGAUUUACUGGGCGUAAAGGGUGAGUAGGCGGUUAUAUAUGUCAGGUGUAAAAAGCUAUGGCUUAACCAUAGUAAGCACUUGAAACUGUAUGACUUGAGUGCAGGAGAGGUAAGCGGAAUUCCUAGUGUAGCGGUGAAAUGCGUAGAUAUUAGGAGGAACACCGGUGGCGAAGGCGGCUUACUGGACUGUAACUGACGCUGAGUCACGAAAGCGUGGGUAGCAAACAGGAUUAGAUACCCUGGUAGUCCACGCCGUAAACGAUGAGUGCUAGGUGUUGGGCAGCAAUGCUCAGUGCCGAAGUAAACACAAUAAGCACUCCGCCUGGGGAGUACGUACGCAAGUAUGAA
rnacentral:rRNA from 1 species